GACGUAGGGGGCGAGCGUUGUCCGGAUUUAUUGGGCGUAAAGCGCGCGUAGGCGGCCCGUUAAGUCGGAUGUGAAAACCCGGGGCUCAACCCCGGGCCUGCAUUCGAUACUGGCGGGCUCGAGGCAGGCAGGGGAGAGUGGAAUUCCUGGUGUAGCGGUGAAAUGCGCAGAUAUCAGGAGGAACACCGGUGGCGAAGGCGGCUCUCUGGGCCUGUCCUGACGCUCAGGCGCGAAAGCUAGGGGAGCAAACGGG
rnacentral:rRNA from 1 species